rnacentral:rRNA from 1 species
GUGGGGAAUAUUGGGCAAUGGGCGCAAGCCUGACCCAGCAACGCCGCGUGAGGGAAGAAGGCUUUCGGGUUGUAAACCUCUGUCCUUGGUGACGAAACAAAUGACGGUAGCCAAGGAGGAAGCCCCGGCUAACUACGUGCCAGCAGCCGCGGUAAUACGUAGGGGGCGAGCGUUGUCCGGAAUUACUGGGCGUAAAGGGUGCGUAGGUGGCCUUUUAAGUUGGAUGUGAAAUACCCGGGCUUAACUUGGGGGGUGCAUCCAAAACUGGGAGGCUAGAGUGCAGGAGAGGAAAGCGGAAUUCCUAGUGUAGCGGUGAAAUGCGUAGAUAUUAGGAGGAACACCAGUGGCGAAGGCGGCUUUCUGGACUGUAACUGACACUGAGGCACGAAAGCGUGGGGAGCAAACAGGAUUAGAAACCCCGGUAGUCC